UAUCCGACCUCAGAUGGGCCGAGAUAC
rnacentral:rRNA from 1 species